AGAACGAACGCUGGCGGCAGGCUUAACACAUGCAAGUCGAGCGCGUGUAGCAAUACACGAGCGGCGCACGGGUGAGUAACGCGUGGAUAUCUGCCUUUUGGUUCGGAAUAACCCCGGGAAACUGGGGCUAAUACCGGAUGGUUCCUACGGGAUAAAGAUUUAUCGCCAAAAGAUGAGUCCGCGUCCGAUUAGCUAGUUGGUGAGGUAACGGCUCACCAAGGCGACGAUCGGUAGCUGGUCUGAGAGGACGAUCAGCCACACUGGGACUGAGACACGGCCCAGACUCCUACGGGAGGCAGCAGUGGGGAAUAUUGGACAAUGGGGGCAACCCUGAUCCAGCCAUGCCGCGUGAGUGAUGAAGGCCUUCGGGUUGUAAAGCUCUUUUGGCGGGGACGAUGAUGACGGUACCCGCAGAUAAGCCCCGGCUAACUUCGCGCCAGCAGCCGC
rnacentral:rRNA from 1 species